UGUUUAAUAGCUUCUUGGCUCGAGGCCCCCCCCCCCCCCAAAGCUCUUGGCAAUUGAAGGCGCCUUAAACUGGUAUUUUUAGGCUGGUCACGAGCCUUUGCAGGAUUCACAAGAUGAAGAUGGUAAACGAUUGCGCGUUGGGUGCGGCCCAGACUCUUAACGACGCGGGUUGUUGGGGCUGAACUGCGAAAAACCCGUGGGCUCGCGUUUCCUGCCUGUGAUGAAGCCUGUGUUGGUAGGGACAUCUGAGACUGUUGAUGAAUGCCAACGGCUCUGAUGGCGGCGCUUGCCGGGUCCCCGAGUGGGCCUUCGUUGGUGACCUCGGCCCGGGCCUCUUGCGGCCUCUCGCCGGGGAAGGCGGGCGGUGGCGGUAGUCCACGUGGUGCUCAGCGGCUGCAGUCCGCGGUGCGCCGUUAACGUCAGUGCCUCCCAGCCUUUGUGCGGUGCUUUCUGUCUAGGCUGUUCAGUGCAUGCACCCUUUAUAGUCCUGAGAUUAUGGUUGAACGGCCUGAUUCAGACGGGAGGAAAACGGCAUGCUUAGGCUUCAACUUAGAACAAAAUGACUUAUCUUAAAAAAAUCCUAAUCUUUUUUUUUUUUUCUAGGAAUGGUGCUAGGCGCGAGUGCAGUGCGGCUUUUGAUGGCUCCUGAUGGACAAGUUCUGUGCCAAAGGGGUGGAAGUGGCUGCCAAGAUCCAAAGCUCAAGUUUCACAUCCUAGCCAUGGGCAAACAGGCACGCAACAUAAUUAGCUGGAAGUUGAAAGGGUGAACUUGAGCCUUUGACCUGUCUGCACCAACUAUUUUUGGGCUUACAGACCACUAUCAUGGAUGGCUUGCUUGGGGGUAAGACCUAAAAAAACUCUGGUUUCCGAACUCGGGUCUAUAUUUCUGUAAUGUGCUUUCUGGGUAUUGUGAAGUAUGUCUAAAAUAUUUUUUGUUAGGUGCUGAUUUUAAAGACCUCGUAUAAAGGUGUGAAGAGUUUUGAGGCCAGCUUACAAGGCCUGGGAGCACAGGAGUUUAAGUAAGCCAUGGCAGACCUGUCAAGCUGAAGAUUUAGAGAGGGCAUUUAGGAGAGCAGCAAUCCAGUUAUGAGAACAUCUUACCAGUUGAAGGGUACCCGAAUGGAUGCUCAUGGGAUAGAAGAUCAUACUUUCAAUUUCAAUAAAUUUUUAUAAACCAUC